GGGCUGGUGCUGAAAUUGGUAGACAGACAGGUUUUAGGAACCUGCGGUAGCAAUACCUUAGAGGUUCAAGUCCUCUCCAGCCCA
rnacentral:tRNA from 3 species